rnacentral:RNase_P_RNA from 1 species
CAGGUAAGCAAGGUGGUUACUCCCGACUUGUCGGGAGAGGAAAGUCCGAACACCAUUUCUUUAACAGAAUUAUGGGCAGUCGAUAACGUCGACCAAUAUAAAUAUAUGGAAAUUACCUCUCGCGAGAAAUUUUCAUUUAUGAAAUUUAGGGAAAGUGCCACAGAGACGAUUAAAGCUCCUUCGGGAGCCAAAUGUGAAAAGUUAGAAGGUGUGUUUCGUAUAUUACGAAAUUGCUACUUCUCUUCCCGGCUGGCGACAGCCGAGGACGGUAAACCCUGCCCGGUGCAAGGCCAAGGUUCCCGCAAGGGAAAUGGUAGGCCGCUCGAACUUUGCAGUAAUGCAAAGUCUAGAUAGAUAAUCACCCCCAUCUCCGUCAACUGACGAAUAAUGGGAACAAAAUUCGGCUUAUUUGUUUACCUGAAUA